CUACGGGACGCAGCAGUGAGGAAUAUUGCGCAAUGGGGGAAACCCUGACGCAGCGACGCCGCGUGGAUGAUGAAGGCCUUAGGGUCGUAAAAUCCUGUCAGGUGGGAAGAAGUGGAUAUAGAUUAAUACUCUAUUUCUUUGACGGUACCACCAAAGGAAGCACCGGCUAACUCCGUGCCAGCAGCCGCGGUAAUACGGAGGGUGCAAACGUUGUUCGGAAUUACUGGGCGUAAAGCGCGCGUAGGCGGUUUGUUAAGUCAGAUGUGAAAGUCCACGGCUCAACUAUGGAAGUGCAUUUGAACUGGCAGACUUGAGUACUGGAGGGGGUGAUGGAAUUCCCGGUGUAGAGGUGAAAUUCGUAGAUAUCGGGAGGAAUACCGGUGGCGAAGGCGAUCACCUGGCCAGAUACUGACGCUGAGGUGCGAAAGCGUGGGGAGCAAACAGGAUUAGAUACCCCCGUAGUC
rnacentral:rRNA from 1 species